rnacentral:rRNA from 1 species
GGAGCAUGUGGUUUAAUUCGAUGCAACGCGAAGAACCUUACCAUCCCUUGACAUACAGAGAACUUUCUAGAGAUAGAUUGGUGCCUUCGGGAACUCUGAUACAGGUGCUGCAUGGCUGUCGUCAGCUCGUGUCGUGAGAUGUUGGGUUAAGUCCUGCAACGAGCGCAACCCUUAUCAUUAGUUGCUACCAUUUAGUUGAGAACUCUAAUGAGACUGCCGGUGAUAAACCGGAGGAAGGCGGGGACGACGUCAAGUCAUCAUGGCCCUUAUGGGAUGGGCUACACACGUGCUACAAUGGGGGGUACAAAGAGCUGCCAACUGGCAACAGUGCGCGAAUCUCAAAAAACCCUUCGUAGUCCGGAUCGGAGUCUGCAACUCGACUCCGUGAAGUCGGAAUCGCUAGUAAUCGUGGAUCAGAAUGCCGCGGUGAAUACGUUCCCGGGCCUUGUACACACCGCCCGUCACACCAUGGGAGUUGGCUGCAAAAGAAGUGGGUAGUCUAACCUUCGGGAGGACGCUCACCACUUUGUGGUCAAUGACUGGGGUGAAGUCGUAACAAGGUA